GGCGUCAUAGCUCAGUUGGGAGAGCAGCAGACUGAAGUCGAGUUUUGAUUUGAUGUUAUCUGAAGGUCCCGUGUUCGAGCCACGGUGAUGCCA